AGUGUGUCAGGGGUGAAUCUACUAAUUGCUCUAUUGCGUGUAUGACUUUGGGAAGAACAAAUAGAUCUACUCGAUGAGCAGCUGCUUUAGAGGACUCCAUGACAAGUUCUACAUCAUAAUCAACUUCACACCUCAUCAUACUUUCAUCUGUACACAUAGAAAGUCUAGAAUUGCAUAGAACAUCAAUGAUAUAGGACCUGAUAGAGGAACUCUGUAACAGACAGGCCAGACCUUUCUUGUACAAUUCAUGUAACUGUAGGAACAAUCUGUUUUGUGCUGAGCCAUGGACCUUUGUCAGAAACAGGUUGUUUUGUGGGAUAAAAAAGUUUGGACAAACUCCCUCAUACACCCAUCUAAGGAGGAGUUUAAAGCAGACCCAGAAACCGGCCAGCAGAUUUUGUGGACACCAUUGAGGUAGUGUGUUUUGUUGAAUCGCCCAAAAAACUGUUGUCUUCAUGUGAUAGGAACACAACAGUUUAUUGGUUUCCUCUGACUGUUGAUUCAUUACUUCUUUUAAGAAAAGUUUUAACAGUCCAUAAGUCAAAAACUGGCAGUGGUUCAUUGACGAAACAAGUUUAUAUUCUGCCUUAGAAAAAGAAAUUCUCCAUUCUUCAUGUUCAUGGGGUCCUAAUGGGUGUCCUAUUGCUACAAAGUGACAGCCAUUUCUGACAAUGUUAUUGACAAUUUCAGGAUCAGGCCAUGAGUGACAUCUGUCUAUCCAUGAGGAGGCAGACACAGGCCAAAAGUCACUAACAAAACAGUGAGCAUGGUCAUAUUCUACUGUUCCUCUAACACCACUACCACAGGGUCCAUGUACAGUAGAAUUAGGUUCUACUAUUGAACAAGUUAACCCUCUGUAUAUAGAACUAGAUAUAUAGACUCUGUCAUUCAUUCUGACACAUGCUGAUCGGACAUAUCUGUUUGUUGUUGGUGUCAGUAACUGAUGUAGAGUGAAUCCUGGUGGACUCUCAGAACUGUCAGAGAGAAUCAAGGUUGUAUUGGCCGUGUUGUAAUACUCAGACUGAGACAUGUCCAUGAUCACUCGGAGGUUGUUUGGCCAGUACAUAAAGUCCAGAUCUGAUUCCUGCAGUCUGAAACCUUCUCUGAAACUUCCACUCGCCAUCGCAAUCAUCCCAUCAUUAGGCAUCAUUCGUCUGUCCAACAUCUCCCUGAUGUCCUGUGUCUCCCUCCUGAUAGCUACCUGUUGUGAGGUCCCCAUUAUAUUACACAGUCCCACAAACACUGACUCCGACAUAUGCUCAAGUCCCUCACAUCUGUUAUUAAUAUAUAAAUAUUUUUAUAAAUACUUUAAAACUACUCUCAUUUUACACAAAAUUUCAAGGGUUUUUUUAAAUUAAAAAAAGUUUAUUUUUCCAUAGAGAGGUAUGCUUUUAUCCAAUAUAUAUAUAUAUACUGUAUAUUAUUUUGAUAAUACCAUUUAAGAUUUUAGAUUACAUUUUGUUGAACUAAUGAAAUAAUAUACAAUUACUAAUUCAGUUUAAAAAAACCUCUACUAUAAACACUUUUUUAAGAUGUUAUAUUUUAAAUUUGUUGUGGGAUGAUAAUUGGGAAUAGAUAGAUUAUUCCAGAGAAAAAUUAGAUAAAACAAGAUCCAUUUAUGAUAAUCAUCUUUUUCUGGCUUUAAUCAGAACCUUAAUUGUUUCAUUUGUCGGCAACUCAAAGAAUAAAACUCGAUUUUUUCUGGAAUCUCUUUGCUUUGUUUGAUAUGUACAUGACAGCAAUAAUGCAAUAUUUAUUACAUGUAUCUUUGGUAAAACUUGCUAAAACCAUCAAUGUUAAGGGGGAUUGCCAUGUACAUUAACCACAAUAAUUUCAAAGUAAGGUAUUGACAUCAAUUACCGGUAUAUGAUUAAUUAAUGUUGUGUUGGUUGAUACAUGCUGCCUAUGAUACCAAACAGCUUAAAAAAUAGAAAAUUAUUAUUUAUAAAAUAGAAAACAUUGGAUAUGCACUUGUUAAUAAAAUCAUAGUAACUAG
rnacentral:sRNA from 1 species